GCCUCCAAUCAACAGAUCAGACAGCUUGUACUCACAGGCCAAGGACACGUGGAAAGAGGCUCAAUUUUCUAGAUGGGUGGCAACAGCCAUGAUCUUCUGUCCUCUGGGUCCCCACAAGCCUGGAUGAACUCAAGAUCUGACUCAGUGGCACAGUGAGGAGACCUUUGAGGCCUCAGUGACCAUCCUUGGACUUCACCUCUCACGGCUUUCAGGCAGAGAGGCCCUCCCAUGCCCACAACAGGCUGAGCCCAGCCUUCCUCGGGGUUUGCUUCCAGGCCUGACUUUUACUCCCCUUUCUAAGUGUGCAGAUGGGAUGUGCUUCUCCACAGGAGGCCCCACGGCUUCCCCACCCCUCAGAGGAGCGCCGUGCGUGCGUCUGUGUGGAGGAUUGGCAGCUCCUGCAGUCGGCCCUUGGUCCUAUUUGGCGACGCCUCUGCCUUCCCCUUAAUUAUACAGUCAUGAGCCGCCCUGGAAUCACGGCAGCUCCGGAUGGAUCCUGGAUGCCAGAAUGCAGCCUCAGCACGGGGCUGCAGGACAGGAGUGAGCGAGGGGCUGCAGAGCCGGCGGCCGCGGUGGGCACCAUGGAGGGGGCUGCCCUGGGCAGCACGGGCAUGAGUCUCAAGGCCCAGGUUUGAGUAACAGGUGUUGAGAGCUUACUUACUUUUCCUGAGACACAGUUUCCUCAUCUCGAGAGCACGGAAAAUCAUUCUAACUUCAGAGGAUUGUUGUGAAAGUUAAAUGAGAUUAAAGAGGUAAAGCCCAUGACGUGCUUAGCUCGUGCUUGGCUCUUGGUCAAUGCCAGUUAGCGCUGCAUUUUCUCCCCUCUCCCUCCCUCCUUCUCUCUUUCUUUUCUUCUAUUCUCCAUUCCUGUUUUCUCCCCCACCCCACUCCCCAAAGCUCUGCGUUGAGAACCAGAUGCUGUCUGGUGGGUUAGGGCCAGAGGAGGAAAAGCUGCCCGCCGUGGGCUGCACCCAUACCCUCUUCAUUCCAAUGACAUGAGGGGAGGGGAAAGGACAGAGGUAGACUGUCCUCCCCUACCUCCUCCUAAUACAAAUGGAAUUCCUGGAACUGGAAAACAAAGAAUACCCCCAUAAAAAUAAGACAGUACUUCUGGUGCGGUGUAAUAAAGGGGAAAGUAACCCUCAAUGUCAGGAAACUCCGCACCUCCCAGCUCAUAUUUGUGUGGAGGAAAAGUUAAAUAUUAAUUUGGACUCAACUGAAUGUGGACACAAACAAUGGUCACCAAGUCCCGGAACAGGUUGUGUGAGCCUCUUCAGGGGUUCAUCCAGCGCUGUUUUGGAGAAAUCUCUAUUUCAAUUUAUUCCUAUACGUUAGUUACUGAAAAACAACAGACAAUCGCAAAAGCAAGUUGCCCGUUUUGUGUUCCUUGAGCCCAAUCAUGAAGUGCCGUCGUGACUGGGCCUCAUGACAAACAACUUGUAACAAGUAACAACAGAGCUCAGGUCCCAGACCGCACUGAAGCUCUGUGAGACCUCUCCUCAUCUGUGCAUGAACGAGUGUCUGACUCUGGAGCCCAGCCUGCUGCUUCCCAGUCUGGUGGUGAAUCCUCCGUAGUCUGAUGGAGGUUUGCUCUUGUUGCCCAGGCUGGAGUGCAAUGGCACAAUCUCGGCUCACUGCAGCCCCUGCCUCCCAGGCUCAAGCAAUUCUUACGCCUCAGCCUCCUGAGUAGAUGGAACUACAGGGCAUGGACUGGAACUCCCAAUACCCCUGACAUGGGCUGAGUCAACGUGGUCAUGAACAUGUGACAGGAGGCAGCAGAAGUUGCAGAGAAGAGUGAGGCACGUUUGAAAAAGGCUGAAAAAUGUUUCUGUCCAGGCAAGGGUGUGUGCUGAAUGACUCAAGGAUUUUUUGGGCAACACAAACCAACACGAGCCGUGUGAGGAUCAGGUGACAGCUGCCCAAAAGCUGACACAAGGAACAAGCCUGGAGGAGUGAGGAUGGGUGCUGUGAAGGAGGUUGUGCAGCUGGGCCCGCAGUCGGACCUGGUGAGAUCAGAGGAGGGGGUGCCACCAGUCUGUGGACGAAGAUGAGAAGCUGGAAUAGAGCAGAAAACAGGAGGCUGCCACUCUCCAUCUUUCCCAAAGUCACUCCAGGAGCAAGGGUGUCAUUUACUGAAAUGACAGACUCUCCAUUUCACAUUUUUCCCCCAAGUGCAGAGUGCAGGGAAGCAGAUGGGCUAAAUUUUUAGAGUCAGGGUUAUUAAUGUAUACUUUACAUAGUAAACUUUCCCCUUUUAAGUGUGCAGGCCUGAGGUUUGCCAAAUAUGUGUAGGCAUUUAAUCACCACCACGAUCAAGAUGUAGAAUAUUCCCACUAUCAAAAAGUUUGCUGUGUCCCUUGAUGGUCAUGCCCCAUUCCACAGCCCCAGCCCCAGCCCCUGGAGAUUGCUGUCUGCUUUAUGUUCCAGUGGUUUUAUCUUUUCCAGACUGUAUGGAUGUGAAUGGAAUCAGAUGUGAUUCCAAGGUGUUUUAUCUUUUCCAGAUGUGAAUGGAAUCAGAUGUACGAAAUCCUAUGGUAGGGGGUCUUCUGAGUCUAGCUCCUUUUGUUUAGCGUGAUGCAUUUGAAAUUAAUCCAUGUCUCAGGCAUCAGGAGUUCAUUUCUUUUUCUGCUGAGUAGUAUUUCAUUGUAUGGAUGUACUGCAAUUUGCCUAUCCAUUCACCUGUUGAUGUACAUUUGAGAUUUUUGGCAAUUAUGAAUAAAGCUGCUAUAAACAGACA